GCAGGGAGGGUGUAGUGGUAGAGUGCAUGCUUAGCAUGCAUGAGGUCCUGGGUUCAAUCCCCAGUACCUCUG
rnacentral:tRNA from 1 species